rnacentral:lncRNA from 1 species
AAACGUUCAUAAAAAUUCUAUUACAAAGCUAUUAGCAUUGAAAUCAAAAUCCCAAAGUUCUCCCAUGUAUCUCGCUGCUCAACUUCGCUUUAUCUAUAUCUGUAACAACAUCUACUCCCGUACAAGUACGAUCAUCGCAGGUGAAAACCACAACCACAAACAUGCAAGGGUUAGCUAACAGAAAAGAAUCAUAUAACAUGCAUAAAUUCAACAUCAACUUAGAAUAAGAAUUCUGAGUAUUGCAUAUCAUCACACUCCUACACACACUUUACAUGACGACACACCAAAUCAUUAACAUCCGCACUAUCAGAAUUCCAAGUCACUAGCAUAUAUAACCACAAAAGGAUUUCAUCAAAGUAACCAACUCACACCCAACCUCAUUCGGUCAUUCACUAACUCCUUCCCCAAUUUAAUUGAAACCAUUCAUUAUACACUGAAUCACCAUCGGUUACUCAUAUACAACAUAAGGUCGAGUGUCACUCCCCACCACUCUCUUAAAGAGCUUCACCGGGCCAGUACACUUUACCACACCAUUACAUAAUGACAUCUUCCACCACUCUUUGGAAGGCUUCACCGGCAAGUACACCACUUUCCAUCACUCUAUUCUCAAAGAGCUUCACCAGACAAGUACCAAUACUACUUUCAUCACACUUUUAGGAACUUCACAAAACAUCACAAAUAUAAAUCCGAUUCCAAAAAGAAUAAAUAAUAUUGUACACACACAACCAAAAGAUAAAUCCGGAUGAUAAAAAUUCUCAAAAAAAUAAGUAAAAAAUAAUAAUAAGUUAACAAACUAUUUUAAUAUAUUCUUUCUUCCCCAUUAUCUUUCACGGUUUCUAUUACCUACACACCAGAAGCACUUACACGUAAAACUUCAUUCUUAAUUUUUUUUUUUACAGGAUCCUCACACCUUUUAUAUACAUAUAUAUAAACCUAUAUUAUAUUAAUAUAAUAUAGUAAUAUAAUUUAUAUAUAACUAUACGUAACCCUCACACUGCCCCCACAUACAAUGCACACCAAGACAUUCUUUCAAAGUAACCAUACUUUGCAUAAUAACCCAACACGUUAAACAACUUUCAUUCAUUCUCCCUCUUUAAUACUCUCAUUUUUCCUUAUAAACCCUUAACCCUUCUUCGAGACUCAUUAUGGAUGAAACAAGAAGAGAAAAGAACCCCAUGAUUCCAUACAGAGCACGCAUAAAACAACUGAUUUUAAAGGUAUAACAUAUAUACAAUCACCUCACCUUCCAAGACCAACCAAAUAGUUCAAGAAAAAGGGACAUACAUCCAAUACCACACGUUAAGAGUUACACAUAUUCAUUCCCAUAAUUUACAUAAUCAUAAUCAAACACAACAACAAAGCAAUGUUAGCUCCUCUUACCGGUUGAAGUCCAACCUUUCUCGUUUGCUUCACAUUGCAACCCCAAUAUCUCCUUCCAUACGCCUAUGCUUGGUUUUGUUUUCUAAUUUCUCCUUUUCCUGCUGCCAUUGCCUCUCACUUAAAAGAAUAAGUGAAGAAAAAAAACCUUCCUUUCAUAGCUUCUGUCACUUAAAAGAAUAAGUGAAGAAAAUGCUUCUUCUUUCUCUCUCUACGCAACCAUCCAUGUAUCCACUUUGACCGUUUCUCUUUCUUCAUUUACUUUCCCACCUCCACUUUUCUCUCCACUUUUACAUGCAAUUACCUAAUUUUCUCUUCCUUCAUUAAAUAACAAUUUUUUCUCUCUGGACCCUACGAAAAAAUUGCAAAAAAAUUGAUCAAGCAACAAAAUACACCCCCACUGCACCACAAUUCAUACUAGACACAAAGCAUUGCCACUAACCCAAUUUAAUUUCAUUGAUAUAAUAGUGCAAAUAUUAAUAUUUAAUAUAAUAUACACAUUUU